rnacentral:rRNA from 1 species
GAUGAACGCUGGCGGCGUGCCUAAUACAUGCAAGUCGAGCGAAUGGACGAGAAGCUUGCUUCUCUGAUGUUAGCGGCGAACGGGUGAGUAACACGUGGAUAACCUACCUAUAAGACUGGGAUAACUUCGGGAAACCGGAGCUAAUACCGGAUAAUAUUUUGAACCGCAUGGUUCAAAAGUGAAAGACGGUCUUGCUGUCACUUAUAGAUGGAUCCGCGCUGCAUUAGCUAGUUGGUAAGGUAACGGCUUACCAAGGCAACGAUGCAUAGCCGACCUGAGAGGGUGAUCGGCCACACUGGAACUGAGACACGGUCCAGACUCCUACGGGAGGCAGCAGUAGGGAAUCUUCCGCAAUGGGCGAAAGCCUGACGGAGCAACGCCGCGUGAGUGAUGAAGGUCUUCGGAUCGUAAAACUCUGUUAUUAGGGAAGAACAUAUGUGUAAGUAACUGUGCACAUCUUGACGGUACCUAAUCAGAAAGCCACGGCUAACUACGUG